GGUGAACGCUGGCGGUAGGCCUAACACAUGCAAGUCGAACGGCAGCACAGUAAGAGCUUGCUCUUACGGGUGGCGAGUGGCGGACGGGUGAGGAAUACAUCGGAAUCUACUUUGUCGUGGGGGAUAACGUAGGGAAACUUACGCUAAUACCGCAUACGACCUACGGGUGAAAGCAGGGGAUCUUCGGACCUUGCGCGAUUGAAUGAGCCGAUGUCGGAUUAGCUAGUUGGCGGGGUAAAGGCCCACCAAGGCGACGAUCCGUAGCUGGUCUGAGAGGAUGAUCAGCCACACUGGAACUGAGACACGGUCCAGACUCCUACGGGAGGCAGCAGUGGGGAAUAUUGGACAAUGGGCGCAAGCCUGAUCCAGCCAUACCGCGUGGGUGAAGAAGGCCUUCGGGUUGUAAAGCCCUUUUGUUGGGAAAGAAAAGCAGCAGGUUAAUACCCCGCUGUUCUGACGGUACCCAAAGAAUAAGCACCGGCUAACUACGUG
rnacentral:rRNA from 1 species